rnacentral:rRNA from 1 species
UGGCGAACGGGUGAGUAACACGUGAGUAACCUGCCCACAACUUUGGGAUAACGCUAGGAAACUGGUGCUAAUACUGGAUAUGUGCUCCUGCUGCAUGGUGGGGGUUGGAAAGCUCCGGCGGUUGUGGAUGGACUCGCGGCUUAUCAGCUUGUUGGUGGGGUAGUGGCUUACCAAGGCUUUGACGGGUAGCCGGCCUGAGAGGGUGACCGGCCACAUUGGGACUGAGAUACGGCCCAG